ACGCUGGCGGCGUGCCUAACACAUGCAAGUCGAGCGGAGUUAACAAGAGGAAGUUUUCGGAUGGAAUUUGUUAAUUUAGCGGCGGACGGGUGAGUAACGCGUGAGCGACCAACCUUGCACAGGGGAUAACGGACCGAAAGGUUCACUAAUACCGCAUGAGACCACGGUGUUGCAUGACACAGAGGUCAAAGGAGCAAUCCGGUGCAAGACGGGCUCGCGUCCGAUUAGGUAGUUGGUGGGGUAAUGGCCCACCAAGCCUAUGAUCGGUAGCCGACCUGAGAGGGUGAUCGGCCACAUUGGAACUGAGAUACGGUCCAAACUCCUACGGGAGGCAGCAGUGGGGAAUAUUGGGCCAAUGGGGGAAACCCUGACCCAGCAACGCCGCGUGAAGGAAGAAGGUUUUCGGAUUGUAAACUUCUGUCCUUGGUGAAGAGAAGAAGACGGUAGCCAAGGAGGAAGCCCCGGCUAACUACGUGCCAGCCGCGGC
rnacentral:rRNA from 1 species